rnacentral:rRNA from 1 species
UAAUAUAUCGGAACGUGCCCUGGAGUGGGGGAUAACGUAGCGAAAGUUACGCUAAUACCGCAUACGAUCUACGGAUGAAAUGGGGGAUUCGCAAGGACCUCAUGCUCGUGGAGCGGCCGAUAUCUGAUUAGCUAGUUGGUGGGUAAAAGCCUACCAAGGCAUCGAUCAGUAGCUGGUUUGAGAGAACGACCAGCCACACUGGGACUGAGACACGGCCCAG